rnacentral:rRNA from 1 species
UACGGAGGAUCCAAGCGUUAUCCGGAUUUAUUGGGUUUAAAGGGUGCGUAGGCGGCUUAUUAAGUCAGGGGUGAAAGACGGUGGCUCAAGCAUCGCAGUGCCCUUGAUACUGAUGAGCUUGAAUACACUUGAGGUAGGCGGAAUGUGACAAGUAGCGGUGAAAUGCAUAGAUAUGUCACAGAACACCAAUUGCGAAGGCAGCUUACUAAGGUGCAAUUGACGCUGAGGCACGAAAGCGUGGGGAUCAAACAGG